rnacentral:tRNA from 1 species
GCGGACGUGGUGUAGCAGCAGCACGCGACUCUCCCAAGGUCUCAGCGCGGGUGCGAUUCCCGCCGUCCGCUCCA